CAUGACCUUUUCCUAGCAUGAGAGGACCGGGAAGGACGCACCUUUGAUGCACCAGUUAUCGUGCCUAAAGUAAAUGUUGUGUUGCCAGGUGUGGAGAGGACAACCACUGAAAGUGUAUAAGUAGUUUAUGCGCCAUG
rfam:Triticum urartu cultivar G1812 contig1124738, whole genome shotgun sequence.